rnacentral:rRNA from 1 species
ACGAACGCUGGCGGCGUGCUUAACACAUGCAAGUCGAACGGUGAAGCGCCUUCCUUUUUGGUGGGUGUGGAUGAGUGGCGAACGGGUGAGUAACACGUGAGUAACCUGCCCCCUUCUUCUGGAUAACCGCAUGAAAGUGUGGCUAAUACGGGAUAUUCUGGGUCUGUCGCAUGAUGGGUCUGGGAAAGAUAUUGUUUCGGUGGGGGAUGGGCUCGCGGCCUAUCAGCUUGUUGGUGGGGUGAUGGCCUACCAAGGCGGUGACGGGUAGCCGACCUGAGAGGGUGGACGGUCACACUGGGACUGAGACACGGCCCAGACUCCUACGGGAGGCAGCAGUGGGGAAUAUUGCACAAUGGGCGCAAGCCUGAUGCAGCGACGCCGCGUGAGGGAUGGAGGCCUUCGGGUUGUGAACCUCUUUCGCCAGUGAAGCAGGCCUGCCUCGUUUGUGGGUGGGUUGACGGUAGCUGGAUAAGAAGCGCCGGCUAACUACGUG